AUUGAACGCUGGCGGAAUGCUUUACACAUGCAAGUCGAACGGCAGCACGGACUUCGGUCUGGUGGCGAGUGGCGAACGGGUGAGUAACAUAUCGGAACGUAUCCAAUAAUGGGGGAUAACGAGUCGAAAGAUUCGCUAAUACCGCAAACGCCCUACGGGGGAAAGCUGGGGACCUUCGGGCCUGGCGUUAAUGGAGCGGCCGAUAUCUGAUUAGCCAGUUGGUGAGGUAAAGGCUCACCAAGGCGACGAUCAGUAGCUGGUCUGAGAGGACGACCAGCCACACUGGAACUGAGACACGGUCCAGACUCCUACGGGAGGCAGCAGUGGGGAAUUUUGGACAAUGGGCGCAAGCCUGAUCCAGCCAUUCCGCGUGAGUGAAGAAGGCCUUCGGGUUGUAAAGCUCUUUCGCAAGGGAAGAAAACUUAGCCACUAACAUUGGUUGAGGUUGACGGUACCUUGAUAAGAAGCACCGGCUAACUACGUGCCAGCAGCCGCCGUAA
rnacentral:rRNA from 1 species